rnacentral:snRNA from 1 species
GGAUGUGAGGGCGAUCUGGCUGCGACAUCUGUCACCCCAUUAAUCGCCAGGGUUGAUUCAGCUGAUCUGGCUGGCUAGGCGGGUGUCCCCUUCCUCCCUCACCGCUUCAUGUGCGUCCCUCCCGAAGCUGCGCGCUCGGUCGGAGAGGACGACCUUCCCCGAUAGAGGAGGACCAUUCUUCGGUCAAGGGUAUACGAGUAGCUGCGCUCCCUGCUAGAACCUCCAAACAAGCUCUCAAGGUCCAUUGGUAGGAGAACGUAGGGUAGUCAAGCUUCCAAGACUCCAGACACAUCCAAAUGAGGCGCUGCACGUGGCAGUCUGCCUUUCUUA